rnacentral:rRNA from 1 species
GAUGAACGCUGGCGGCGUGCCUAAUACAUGCAAGUCGAGCGAACAGACGAGGAGCUUGCUCCUCUGAUGUUAGCGGCGGACGGGUGAGUAACACGUGGAUAACCUACCUAUAAGACUGGGAUAACUUCGGGAAACCGGAGCUAAUACCGGAUAACAUGUUGAACCGCAUGGUUCAACAGUGAAAGACGGUCUUGCUGUCACUUAUAGAUGGAUCCGCGCCGCAUUAGCUAGUUGGUAAGGUAACGGCUUACCAAGGCAACGAUGCGUAGCCGACCUGAGAGGGUGAUCGGCCACACUGGACCUGAGCCACGGUCCAGCCUCCUACGGGAGGCAGCAGUAGGGAAUCUUCCGCAAUGGGCGAAAGCCUGACGGAGCAACGCCGCGUGAGUGAAGAAGGUCUUCGGAUCGUAAAACUCUGUUAUUAGGGAAGAACAAAUGUGUAAGUAACUAUGCACGUCUUGACGGUACCUAAUCAGAAAGCCACGGCUAACUACGUG